rnacentral:misc_RNA from 1 species
UUAAGUUCAGCGGGUAGUCCUACCUGAUCCGAGGUCAACGUUCAGAGGUUGGGGGUUUCACGGCGGGCCGCGUCGGGUUCCCGGUGCGAGUGGUCGUACUGCGCAGAGGUCGCCGCGGACGGGCCGCCACUCCAUUUCAGGGCCGGCGGGGUGCUGCCGGUCCCCAAGGCCGACGUCCCAGGGGACGUCGAGGGUUGAAA